GCGGGCCGGGGCGUUGCUAGGAUACGCGCCGCCAUGGCGGAGCCGCUGCGGUGGGGCCUUCGUGUCGGGACCUCAAAGCCCAUCCAGUGCCGUCUUUGCCGCGGGAAGGGGACCCCUCCCGCUGGGUGAGGGCCUCCACGGCCCAUCCAACCUGGCCUGGAGCCCCUCCAGCGGUGGAGCGGCCACCGCUGCUCCGGGUGACCCAUUCCGGGGCCUCCAACCCUCAUGGUGAGGGAAUUCUUCCUUCUGAAGGAUGAGGAUGAGGAGGAAAUGAAGGAAAAGGCACCUGAAGGCCUCCCGGUCUCUCCUCUCGUGGCGGUGGUGUCCCAAGAGGUGUCCCUGAGGCCUCGGAGGAAUUCCGUCAUCCGAGGGGCGGUGCCGCAUCCUAGAUGGCAUUCUCGAAGAUCCGCAUGGAGCUCAUGAUGUCCUUAUCCUGAACGGAGCGGGAAGGAGAGGAGGAUUCCGGUGCUUCCGAAGGCUCUCCGUGCCGCUCACCUGCUGACACGUCUCCAGGAACUCCUCGAAGGUCACUACGCCAUCGCCGUUCCGGUCCAUUUUCUGCGGGAGAACGGUGCGGACGUUCAAUGCCGAUACCCCGAGGGAGAUCGGAUAACCCUUUGGAAUGAUCGGAACGGGAUCACCUCACCUGGAAGAAGACCUCCACGUGCUCGGCGGCUGCGUUCUCCCGCGGCGGUGGGGAAGUGCUGCGCCCCAACAUGUCAUAAAUGGCCUUCAUGAUCUCCAACAUCUCCUGCGAGGGCACCGGGGAUGAGGUUGAAAGCCCACGUCAGCUUCUGCCGCACCGUUCCCCGCAGCAAAACCGAGAGGCCGACGGCAAAAUCCUGCCGGGAAAAAACACGGGAAUAACCCACCGGAACUCCCUGAAUCCCAAAGGAUGGAAUUUUGCGCCCCUCUCUCUCUCUCUCUCUUUUCCCGGGCUCAGCCGUUCGCCCCUCUCCACUGCGGCGCCGCCAUCGAUACCCGCGGGAGUUGGGUUUUCCGUAUUGAUCCCUUUGCUAUUCCGGCUCGGAGCUAUUUUUAAUCACCGCGGUGAAAACGGCUCCGACCGCUGCCGCAGUGCCGGGAAUUCUGCCGAAUGACAGAGCCGAUGACAACUGGAGGAGCGCAAGGCCGGAAUGGCUUUUCCCGGUGGGAACGCGGAGCUGGAGGUGCUCACCUGGAAACAAAUCGCUCCGUUGCCGUCGGCGUCGAAGGCGUCGAACAAGAAGUGAGCGUAAGCGUUGGCGUCUGCCGGAGGGAGGAAGGGGAGAAGCGGUGAAUUCCCGCACCGGGCUGCGAUCCGGUGCUUUCUCCGGAU